GGACCAGACUCCUACGGGAGGCAGCAGUGGGGAAUAUUGCACAAUGGGGGAAACCCUGAUGCAGCGACGCCGCGUGGGUGAAGGAGCGUUUCGGCGCGUAAAGCCCUAUCGGCAGGGAAGAAGGAGGACGGUACCUGGCUAAGAAGCCCCGGCUAACUACGUGCCAGCAGCCGCGGUAAUACGUAGGGGGCAAGCGUUAUCCGGAUUUACUGGGUGUAAAGGGAGCGUAGACGGCUGUGCAAGCCAGAUGUGAAAGCCCGGGGCUCAACCCCGGGACUGCAUUUGGAACUGUGUGGCUGGAGUGUCGGAGAGGCAGGCGGAAUUCCUAGUGUAGCGGUGAAAUGCGUAGAUAUUAGGAGGAACACCAGUGGCGAAGGCGGCCCGCUGGACGAUGACUGACGUUGAGGCUCGAAAGCGUGGGGAGCAAACAGGAUUAGAUACCCUGGUAU
rnacentral:rRNA from 1 species